rnacentral:rRNA from 1 species
AUAGCGUAAACAUUGAUUCAUCACCCUUAAUCCGCCCGGGGACUACAAGUAUAACUUAAAACCCAAAGGACUUGGCGGUGCUUUAGACCCACCUAGAGGAGCCUGUUCUAGAACUGAUAACCCCCGUUAAACCUCACCCUCCCUUGUUAUUCCCGCCUAUAUACCGCCGUCGUCAGCUUACCCUUUGAGGGAUCAAAGUGAGCAUAAUUGGCACACCCCAAAACGUCAGGUCGAGGUGUAGUACAUGGGAGGGGAAGAAAUGGGCUACAUUCGUCCACCGACGAAACGAAUGAUCUAUUGAAAUAUAGACUAAAGGAGGAUUUAGUAGUAAAAGGAAAACAGAGUGUUCUUUGAAAACAGCUCUGAAGCGCGCACACACCGCCCGUCA